GAUGAACGCUAGCGGCAGGCCUAACACAUGCAAGUCGAGGGGUAGAAGGAGCUUGCUCCUUUGAGACCGGCGCACGGGUGCGUAACGCGUAUGCAAUCUACCUUGUACAGGGGAAUAGCCCAGAGAAAUUUGGAUUAAUGCCCCAUAGUAUAUAACCUUCGCAUGUUGGUUAUAUUAAAGUUCCAACGGUACAAGAUGAGCAUGCGUCCCAUUAGUUAGUUGGUAAGGUAACGGCUUACCAAGACGAUGAUGGGUAGGGGUCCUGAGAGGGAGAUCCCCCACACUGGUACUGAGACACGGACCAGACUCCUACGGGAGGCAGCAGUGAGGAAUAUUGGGCAAUGGUCGCAAGACUGAACCAGCCAUGCCGCGUGCAGGAAGACGGUCCUAUGGAUUGUAAACUGCUUUUAUACAGGAAGAAACCCUCCCACGUGUGGGAGCUUGACGGUACUGUAGGAAUAAGGAUCGGCUAACUCCGU
rnacentral:rRNA from 1 species